CCUGUUAGCACAGGUAAUCGUCUAAGCCGAUCAGGUUACACUUAAAUAAAGUUCUCGAAAAAACAAAAGUUCAAAAACGGUUUCUGCUAUUUUAAAUAAGUCAAAGUUGUAAUUUACUUAAGUACAAAUGCUGGCGUCCUCCGGUGUGUGUGUUAUCUGUUAUUUGAGUCAGUGUGUUUGUGUGUGUGUGUGUGUUUUUGUGUGUGUUUUCUGUGUGUGUGUGUGUGUGUGUGGCCGAAGUCUUCCUGGUUGGCUGUGUUGUUGUCUCAGCCCUCGCAGUGUCUCUGUGCUCCUGUUAUUCCUUCACUUCCUCCUUCAGGUCGUCGUCAUGUUGUUUAACUAACUAGCAGCUGCUGGUUAGUGUUUCUUAACUACCAUCAACUUGUCCGGGAGUUAGCUAUCUGCUAGCUCUAGCAACCCUGUCAUCAACAGCCUAGCGUUAGCAUCGUUUUUAGCCUCCUAGCAGCAGAGGGUACUUCCCGGACUUAACACGCCGGAUUCCGUUACCAAACCGUCGGAUUUAAAGUCCUGUGACUUACCGCACGUGUGUGUCGACUGUAAGAAGAACUACUGCAGCCGCUGCUCCGCCCAGCAGGCGCCUCGGCCACGCCUCUGUCACACCUGUCAGCGUUUCUAUGGCAACCUGCUGGAGCGGGCAGAGCUGAUGAAGCUGAAAGUGAAGGAGCUGCGGGACUACCUGCACCUGCACGAGGUUUCCACCCACAUGUGCAGAGAAAAGGUGACGUAUGCGCCAUAUUUCGCACUUCCUGAUGAGACGUGCACGUAUCCUUGGGUUUUAGUGCGACAUCCAGGUGGGAGGAGUCAGUGAGACACGCUAUGGCCUGAUCAACCGUAUUCACGGUCCGUCGCACUCGUGCAGUUGCUGGAGUGUUGUUCCUCUUCUUCGCAUUCAUAACAGGGAAGAGGAGGAAGAGUCUGACCGGGUGCUGGUGUCAGCGCUCCAGCUGACCUCUGAUGACCUCUGCUUCUGCUGUUGCUGGAGAAUCCGUCGUCUGUGAGGCUGGCACAAAACAAAGCUGAAAUAUUUGGUCUCCUGUGGGAGCACACUCCUCUCUGUUCACAUCUUUGUGCCUGUGCGCUGUGCGCCUGGUCUGAUGAUGUUUAACCCGUAAUGACUCGGUCUCCGUGCUGUAGCUGUUUAC